rnacentral:rRNA from 1 species
UACGGGGGGGGCAAGCGUUGUUCGGAAUUACUGGGCGUAAAGGGCGAGUAGGUGGCCAUCUAAGUCAGACGUGAAAUCCCCCGGCUUAACCUGGGAACUGCGUCUGAUACUGGACGGCUUGAGUAUGGGAGAGGAACGUAGAAUUCCAGGUGUAGCGGUGAAAUGCGUAGAUAUCUGGAGGAAUACCGGUGGCGAAGGCGGCGUUCUGGACCAUUACUGACACUGAAUCGCAAAAGCUAGGGGAGCAAACGGG